GACGUAGGGCGCGAGCGUUGUCCGGAUUUAUUGGGCGUAAAGAGCUCGUAGGCGGCCUGUUGCGUCCGCUGUGAAAGCCCGGGGCUUAACCCCGGGUCGGCAGUGGAUACGGGCAGGCUAGAGGUAGGUAGGGGAGAAUGGAAUUCCCGGUAUAGCGGUGAAAUGCGCAGAUAUCGGGAGGAACACCGGUGGCGAAGGCGGUUCUCUGGGCCUUACCUGACGCUGAGGAGCGAAAGCGUGGGGAGCGAACAGG
rnacentral:rRNA from 1 species